rnacentral:rRNA from 1 species
UACGUAGGGUGCAGGCGUUAAUCGGAAUUACUGGGCGUAAAGCGUGCGCAGGCGGUUGUGCAAGACAGAUGUGAAAUCCCCGGGCUCAACCUGGGAAUUGCAUUUGUGACUGCACGGCUAGAGUGUGUCAGAGGGGGGGUAGAAUUCCACGUGUAGCAGUGAAAUGCGUAGAGAUGUGGAGGAACACCGAUGGCGAAGGCAGCCCCCUGGGUCAAGAUUGACGCUCAUGCACGAAAGCGUGGGGAGCAAACAGG